GUCAUGAGGUCUACAGAGAACCAAGGAUCUAUUCCACUGGGUUGGGUCAGAGGAUACAGGAGAGUAAUGGAUGGGAAGUAUAUUAGCCUCAGAGUCAUCACACCGACUGAAGUCUCCUCUCUUUAGAUCAGCAUGGACUCUCUGGGGAUGCGAUCCGCACUGUGAAUGCGAAACUGGACGUUAGGUUUGCCUAUGUGGCUGAUACUUCGGAGCAGCGAACAGACAAGGGCACACCCUCGCUUGAGGUAGGCCUGGAAGUGAGAGUCCUGGAAUCCUACAAGCAAGACCAUUCUUGUGGUAUUUUCAGCCCAGCCAAAACCAGGAAUCUUGUGUUCUGGAGAGACUGCGACGCUAGUUUCCAGACCAAAGGGAUUUGGAGGAGCAUCUGACUGUUUCGGGACAUAUCCAAACCGAACUGCUAGACUCAAUGUACAUUCAGACUAGAGCCACUGAAGUUGCAGUCACUGAAGCGAUUCUUUGAGUGCUCAUUAACAGCCUCCCCCUAUCAACCCGAACACGUUACCAUAUGAUCUCUGUGAACGAUUUGAGUCUGGCUGUUCUGCCAGGUGCUAACAGCAAGAGAAACAAACUCGCAGUCAAAAAGAAUGAAUAAAGGAGCAGAAUAAAGCUCUCAGCCCCAGAACUGGUGCCUGUUGGUCACACUGUUAACACCUUUUCAGGAUUCCUCUGAUUCAUCCAUAAACCAUGUCACUGUGCCUGCUAGUAUUUGCUCUAGCCUGCUUCCCAGUGACACGACUCAUAGCAAACUGCCCACAACCAGGAAACCUCCUGCAGAACAGCACAUGGUUGGUGCUACGGAAGACAGUCGCACCAACCAGAAACCAUCAGAGGUAGCAGCUGCUGCAGAGAGUCUCACCCCCUCCAUCCUGGUUCUUUUCCUCCACUGAGCAGGUUGUUACAGCACUAAACCUUGGGCCGCGGUAGCCCUCCCAAGAGGGACGCAGUGCAGAGAGAGUGACAAGAGACAACCAUCAUUCUAGGCAGAGUCAAAGGCCAGCGCACUUGUGACAAC